rnacentral:lncRNA from 1 species
CCAACCGCUCAACUCUGCUCACAUCCUCUGAAUGGGACACGUUUGAAUACAGACAAAAGCCUCUCAUUUUAAUAUGUGUCCGCAGUGGUUCUGUGUAGCCUAGUUAUGCUAUUAUAUUUGAGACCAGUGUAUUGCAGUGAAUUUCAUCUGACUUAAUAAGUAAAAUAUCUUUGCGUAGUAAACAGAGUAACAAUGAGUCCCAGGCAGUUCGCAAUACCAGAGGGGGGCAUCGUUUACUAGGCUACCUAAAUUAUUGGGAUCAUCUGGGUUACCACCAGUGUUUGGAAUACAUUGAGCUCGUCAACAAAACAGACCAUGGGACGCCUACCGAGAUUCUUCAAAGUAGCCACCCUUUGCCUUGAUGACAGCUUUGCACACGCUUGUCAUUCUCUCAACCAGCUUCACCUGGAAUGCUUUUCCAACAUUCUUGAAGGAGUUCCCACAUAUGCUGAGCACUUGUUGGCUGCUUUCCCUUCACUCUGCGAUCCAACUCAUCCCAAACCAUCUCAGUUGGGUUGAGGCUAGGUGAUUGUGGAGGCCAGGUCAUCUGAUGCAGCACUCCAUCACUCUCCUUCUUGGUCAAAUAGCCCUUACACAGCCUGGAG